UACAGAGGCCUCGAGCGUUAGGCGGAAUCACUGGGCGUAAAGCGCGUGUAGGCGGUUUCCUAAGUCUGGUGUGAAAGCCCGGGGCUCAACCCCGGAAGUGCAUUGGAUACUGGGAAACUCGAGUACCGGAGAGGAGGGUGGAAUUCCUGGUGUAGCGGUGAAAUGCGUAGAUAUCAGGAGGAACACCGGUGGCGAAGGCGGCCCUCUGGACGGAUACUGACGCUGAGACGCGAAAGCGUGGGGAGCAAACAGG
rnacentral:rRNA from 1 species